UACGUAGGGUGCGAGCGUUAAUCGGAAUUACUGGGCGUAAAGCGUGCGCAGGCGGUUUUGUAAGACAGGCGUGAAAUCCCCGGGCUUAACCUGGGAACUGCGUUUGUGACUGCAAGGCUAGAGUACGGCAGAGGGGGGUGGAAUUCCACGUGUAGCAGUGAAAUGCGUAGAGAUGUGGAGGAACACCAAUGGCGAAGGCAGCCCCCUGGGUCGAUACUGACGCUCAUGCACGAAAGCGUGGGUAGCAAACAGGAUUAGAUACCCUGGUAGUCCACGCCCUAAACGAUGUCAACUAGGUGUUGGGAGGGUAAAACCUUUUAGUACCGGAGCUAACGCGUGAAGUUGACCGCCUGGGGAGUACGGCCGCAAGGUUA
rnacentral:rRNA from 1 species